AUGAGACGUUUUGCAAUUUUUGUACUGCACAAGGGUACUGACCCAUCAAAGUUGGUCCAGGACUCUCGUGAGGUGCAAUAAUGGCAAUUAAUGUCUAUACUUU
rnacentral:pre_miRNA from 1 species